AUUGAACGCUGGCGGCAGGCCUAACACAUGCAAGUCGAACGAGUGGCAGACGGGUGCGUAAUGUCUGGGAAACUGCCUGCUGGAGGGGGAUAACUACUGGAAACGGUAGCUAAUACCGCAUACCAUCAGAUGUGCCCCGAUGGGAUUAGCUAGUUGGUGGGGUAAAGGCUCACCAAGGCGACGAUCCCUAGCUGGUCUGAGAGGAUUACCAGCCACACUGGAACUGAGAUACGGUCCAGACUCCGACGGGAGGCAGCAGUGGGGAAUAGUGCACAAUGGGCGCAAGCCUGAUGCAGCCAUGCCGCGUGUAUGAAGAAGGCCUUCGGGUUGUAAAGUACUUUCAGCGGGGAGGCGUUACCCGCAGAAGAAGCACCGGCUAACUCCGUGCCAGCAGCCGCGGUAAUAC
rnacentral:rRNA from 1 species